GAUGAAGAACGCAGCGAAAUUCGAUAAGUAAUGUGAAUUGCAGAAUUCAGUGAAUCAUCGAAUCUUUGAACGCACCUUGCACCCUUUGGUAUUCCGAAGGGUAUGCUCGUUUGAGUGUCAUUGUACUCUCACACUUCUAAUUCCUUUCGGGAUUGGGAGCGGUGGACUUGGGUGUUGCUGCUUUAGUUGUGGCUCACCUCAAAUAAGUUAGUGCAACUCUUGGUUGGACAUAGUACGGCGUGAUAAGUGUCUUCGCCGGCGCCUCUGUAAGGAGGGUGGCCGAUCGGGAGCUCUGUGCUUCAAACCGUCUUCGGACAAUCUUUGACAACUUGACCUCAAAUCGAGUAGGACUACCCGCUGAACUUAAGCAUAUCAAUAAGCGGAGGA
rnacentral:misc_RNA from 1 species